CCAAGGGCGGCGAAUGAAACCCUAACCACAGUGACGCAGAUUGGCUUCUAUUUAAAAAUUCACAAGCUCCUCUCACUUUUCUCAUCCUCUGCUCUGUUACGCUCAUCACACCAAAGUCGGCGAGAGAGGCCUCUGAAUCUUUUUCCAGUUCUUCUCCUCCGUUUCUUCAGUUAAAAGAGCGAAAUGGAAUUACCCGAAAUGUAUAAUAUGCCAGCGCAGCGCAUUAUGACACGUCACACGUGCAUGGAUGAUGACGUCAGCAGCAUAACUCGCAAGUAAACACUACAGCCGUAAGAUCAAAUCACUCAAGAUCCAAGGGCGGCGAAUGAAACCCUAACCACAGUGACGCAGAUUGGCUUCUAUUUAAAAAUUCACAAGCUCCUCUCACUUUUCUCAUCUUCUGCUCUGUCUCGCUCAUCAUACCAAAGUCGGCGAGAGAGACCUCUGAAUCUUUUUCCAGUUCUUCUCCUCCGUUUCUUCAGGACAUCAUAAGAAUCAGAAAAAGGGUGCCGGAAGAAUUUCUCUGCUAUGAUAUCAUUUCCUUUGUCUCAUUUCCUCUGAAGAU